AAAGUCCCGAUCAAAUAAUUCGACGCAUACAGUCGGUGAAGAUAGUGCAAAAUUAAAUGGUUUAUUGGCGGGUAUCGAGCCGUGACGCGGACUCGAACAGCCGAGCUGAGAGCGACUGCAGGAAGACUAUAGGAAAGGCUCAUUAGCCGCAGACAGUUGACAGGACAAAGCUGGAUUGUUCUUUCCCCUCUGCUCAGCCUCAAUGUCGACCCCCGUAUCACCCUUUAGUCCGCCAUCAUCCGUCGUCCACGAAUUAAGGAUCUUGCUUCUCGGGCUCGUCAACCGGCAAUCCAAAUCAGGUAAGAGACAUUGUCAUCAUCGUUCGCUACCCAUGUUCUUCGUAUGCCUUUCUCUUCUUCUCGUUGGUAUCACAGCUCACAUCACUAAUCACGGCCUGGCCAUUCACUCUCGUUUCUCUCUCGCACUCUUCCAUCCUAUGCCAUCGGUGCGACACCAAGGCAGCCUUUCACGUACAAAAAUAGCAGCGGCUUUGUUCCGUGCUCGCACGACCUUUUUCUGUUUCUCCUUGUUCGCUCUCGUAUGCUCGUCGUCGUUGCUUGCUCUUGUUUUUCGAUUCUCUUACGUUCAUCUCUUUUUCCGCCCAGACGAUCCUUUCAGUGCGACCUCUUUAUAAGCGAUACGACAAAUGCUCUCUAUCGCGCGCUCCGAAGCGUCACCGACUGCCGAACGUUGGAUGGACGAGCGCAGGGAAGAGUAAUUCGAUUUCUCUUAGUGGUGAGUAAAAUCCGUGUAAUCAGAGCCAUUUGUAUCGAAGAGUUCAUCGUAGAGGUUUUCAAGAUCUUGAAAAUUAGUUUGACAUGUUCAGGCCAGCUGCGAUACUGUGUCGCCUGUAUUAAGUCGUUGAGCUUUCGUUGAACUUUCCAUUCGGGUGAUCAAAAAUGUUUUCAUUGCGUAUACAGCAAAUGAUAAACGAAAAUUGGUUCGAAAAGAUAACACGAAGCGUGACAAUGAAAUUUCGGUAAUAAUCUUAUUUCUUUAAAAAGAAAAAAAAGUGAAUUACUAGAAAUGCAACAAAGAAAUAUCAACAAUCAAUUGGACGUUAGCAAACGUAUUCGUAUGACAUUGAAAGAAAAAAUGUUUAAAUAAGACGAGACAAAUUUGACGACAAAUUGCAGGGAAAAAAAGGAUCGUAGAAAUUUACAUCUCAUUAGAAUUCGCACAAAUCGAUUGAUUCCUUUCGAUGUACUUAUACGCCGUUCAUUUCGUCAUUUCAAAGAGCUCACGUACUAUAUCGCGAUUAAAAUGUAAAUCCACGCGCCGACACCGGGCAGUCGAUAAAGCGUCGUGAUUUGCAUUGUCGAUAAGCGUAAAUGAACAAUCCCGAUCGUUUCCGAUUCAGUUAAAAAAUUGUUUCGCAUAAUUAGCACGCGAUUCGGGCGAACGCUAUCUGCCCGACUUCUCGGUUAAUACAAGCCCGGCAUUAGCAUGCGCUCAUUACGCAUUAAAAUCAGUCGCUAUCGCGUUGUGAUUGAAUUUCACAGGUCCGACGUGAGCGAGUUUAUUAACAGACAUGCAUGCACGAUCCAUCACUACCAUUAAAUGCAGUGUGUUGACACUAGACGUUCGAAUGUAGUUAUUUUUAUUCAGUCACGCUUUUCUCUUUGUUGCUUUAUUCUUAAUUUUAGAAUACUAAUUAACAAUAAUAUUUAUUAAAAACACGUGCACAAGAAAUCGUAUGCAAUUGACAGAAUUAACCAUUAACAGAAUUCUAAGUAGAAUAAGGUUUUCAGAAUUAUAAUAUUAAAUACAUUUCUGAGAAAUAUCUAGACAGUUUCGCGCCAGUCGAACGUUGGCCCCGUUCAAACGUUCUUUCCGGGAACAAUUCAUUUUCGAGAAACAACCGCCGUUUGAGAUCGACGUAAGCGCUUUAUUUGUCUCCCGUUCGGUGUCCUCGAAAGAGGAUCGAGGCGGAUCUGUCACGCUGAAGCGUGACAAAACGACCAGUGCCGGGAAUCGGUCGCGGUUUCAGACGUGAUGAAUAUACAAGCGGAGACAGCUUUCACGGCUAUGGAAUGUCGAACGUGGGUGAAAAAAAUGUGUUGCGCUAUUUCCGAACAUUCGUCGAUUGUUUUUUUUUUUUAAUCUCUAGUUAACAAUCGAUAUUACGUUGCUUUCUAUCACGCAUUGUAAUUUGUCGGUUUUACAUUUAUUCGACGAUAUUAGCUUUUAAUUAAUUAGAUUCAACGUUUGUCACUUGACGUUUACAUAACUGACACUUUUCAUAUUAUCGAUAAUUUCUUUUUUUAGCUUGUGGACAUCUCGGUUUGUUAAUAUGAAACAUUUUAACGUUGGAACUACCAAAGUUGUGAAAGCGAGCGAUUUCAAAUUCUUUCUCUUUAUAAUUAUAUGACUUUCUGCCUAGAUAUUAAAGGAUGUAAACAAAUCAAUCAAAUUCGUAGACAUGUCUGAACUACGAGAUAGAAAGUGAGCUCAGUGACAAAUAAUGCCUAUGGAAAAUAACUGUCAGAGAGAAAUAUGAACACUGUGUUGACUCAGAAUUAACGGAUGACUAAUUAUCUGACAAAAGAUAAGUGACUUAGUUUUUAUGUAUCAUAACACUCAUCGUAACAUGAAUGUAUCCCAUCGUAAGGGCGAUUUCACUUUUGCAAUAAGAAACAGAAGAUGUUUUGUGUGACAUCGCAUAUGCCAGGUACCGGAAUCCAUUGUGCCACUUGUUGCAGUUUUGAAAUAACUUUCUUCUCAGAGAAACAGAGGACAGCGACAUAAUUCAAUUUACCUAUAAUAAAUUGUAUUUCAAAAUAUACAAUUAAGAAAAGAAUUGUAACGCUAUCUGUCAGCGAUUAAUUUAUAUUUCAAUUUAUAACAUAUCGAAGUGAUUUCGCUUUUACCUCGUGUUAAAGUUUAUAUUCAGUCAUGGUGGAACGUUAAUAUAGAUCAUAUUAAUAACCUUCCACACGUUGAACCAUGCAUACAUUAAUAAAAUUUGCGCAAAUAUAUGCCAGCUGUGACUGCGACGAUUAAAUCGCCAACAUUAUUUAUCGAACAGGUUUCCUACGAUUAAUUACAUUAAACCGGACUUACAGGAUUAAAAUCCGCUUGAUAUAUAUGAUUCAUUAUAUUUUGUUCGUUAUGCAAUUUAAAAAAAAGAGAUAUAUUUAAGAUGUUUACCCAGUAAAUUAUUCUAGGUAAACUUUUUAACUAAGAAGCGAACGUUAUACAAAGAUCAUUUGAAGUUUUAUUAGAAGCUUGUUAAAGUAUCAAAGAAUCAAUUAAAAAAUGAAAAAUUCGAACGUUCUUUAAUUAACUACAUAACAUUCUUCUUUACAAUUAAACAUUACAUUUGCAGAACAUUUCAAUCCUAACGAGACAUAUGCGAUGAAUUAAAAAAAAAAAAAAACUCAACUAAAACACAUACAAAUGACUAAAUAACGACGAACGAAAAGCUGAAAAAAGCUGGACGUAGAUCGAAAUUAAUGGAAAGCGAACACGAGGGAGAAGAACGAUCUACAAUUCGUUUUCGUCCACAUGUGUCAGGUCGGGCCAAAACGCAACCCCGCCGUUACGGCGUCUCGGCUGAUUUAUCGAAAUUUCACGUCGAAUUGGCUCGCACGGGGAUCAACCAACAGUGAAUCGGAGGACAGACCGAAAAGAACGUGGCUGUUAGUCGGCCGGCUCAUAAUUUGUUCACGGUUAUUUUUAGGCGAGUCUCAAUCUCGUCGUGUCGACACGAAUGAGAGUGACUCCUCGGCGCCAGUGGUACUGUCAGUCGUAACAGUGACAACGAGACCGACCGUUCGAUGCUGGAACGAAAAUAAAUCCCUGGAUGGGCUACGAAGGCUCGCAAGAGCCACGGAUCCUCGUGGAAUUUCGGGACACGUGUGCAAACACUGCGGCAAAGCUCGUUAUUGUUCGCCAGCUAGAAUUCCCGCGGUUUUAUUCAUCGACGAUUUCGCGAACAACGCUGCCUUUAUCCUGUUCUGGAUUUCCCGUCAACGAACGCUUAAAACGAUUUCUGCGAAUGGCUACGGUUUAUGUGGAAAUGUACUGCUAUAUCCAGGAUAGAAAUUGUAAAUUAAUAGAAUACGAAGAAAUUUUUAUACACUUAAAUUUACGAUUUGGGAAAGUUAUCAUUUUCAUAAAUUUAACCUUGCGAUUCGGAAGUUACGGUUUUUGUAGAUUUAACUUUACAAUUUGGAUAGAACCUUCGUUGUUUAAAUUCCAAUUCUUCGAUACAAAAGGUGUACAGAGAUAACAAAUGAUACAUUGGUGAUACAAUGAUGUACAAACGAUACUGCCAAAGCUAAGAAACGAUAAAUAAUCAUAAAAACCCCAAAACAUUGAACGUAUAUUACUUUCAAGCAUUUAUGGUAUCCAACAAGUUAGGAAAAAACGACGUACAUAUAACAACAAAUACGUAUAAACAAAUAAGUAAUUCAUAUCAUCCGAACAUAUUAGAAAUUAACAAGGAAAAAGUGUGAGAUUAGUAAAUAAUUGAAAAAAUAUUAUAUUUGUAUUGUUUGCCAUACGCAUUACCCAAUUUAUGAUAUGCAUUGCUAUACUCCAUCGUUGCAUCGUUAUAUUAUGAUCUAUUUAUAAUCGGCACAGAUUUGUUUCUCGCGAUAUGACUUUCUCUUUUCGUAAAUAGAUAAAAGCCUGAUUAUAAAAAGUAAAUUUCAUAUUAUUUUCAGAGAAACUAAUACAAUCAAUUACAAUUGAAUAGAAUCAAUUAAAUAAAGAAACUAAGAUCGUUAGCGAUCCUCGUAAUUAAAUAAAGAAUUCAGGUUAAUAAUAAUUGCUACUGUCUACACAUAUAUAUCUAAUAUCUGAAAUGAUUAUUAUCUAUAGUAGUUAGCAAAUUAAUUUUCAUACCAGCUAUAGGAUCAGUAAGCUGGAAAUCAUGAAUCGCAAUUCAAUACGGCUCAUUACAUACAUGGUUACGAGUACCGAUAAUUAUUAAUUAUAAUAUUGGUAAUUAAUCUAACGCUCGUAAUUAUCGAAUUAUUUAAGCAUUUCACAAAACCCAACAUACAGACAUACGUAGAAUUAGCUUACGGACAUCAAUUAUGUUGUAUUUUAUUAAUUCUAAAAAUUAAAUGGAAAUUAUAAUUAUCGGGCUAACUUCAUUCAGUUUCCUUUUCAAGUAACAAUUCCUACAAGCCAGUUUUAUCUAAAAUUCAACCUGUUCUUUGGAUAGUUUUAGAACCCUAUAAUUUAAUCUGUUAAAAGUUUGAUAAUGGUCGAAUAUAAUCUUCCAUUGCUUCUAACAAAUCCAGGUUCCUUGCUAAAAAAAUGUUAACCUCAUUGAGAUGUCGUAAUACCAAUUCCGUUAUUUCUAUGCUAUUUGGUUAUCUAAAUCACAACAUAAGCAUUGCCUAUGAUUUGCACACAACAUCGUCAUACUUGUUACGAAUUUCCAUUUUUACCGAAUUAAAUUACAAUAGAUCCACGCUAAGUCGCGUGCAGCAGCACAAUAAACGCAGCUCCUCGUAGAUAUUUUCUAUUUCCAGGCAGAAUACGGUACAAUAUUUCGAACAAGACUAUGACACAAUGGCGUAUUCAGAUAAUAGAAACACAUUUAUAAUAGAAACUUGCAGCUGUAUUAUCUGAUUUUCGACAAUAACAUGUUUUCCUACCCUUCGUCCGCUUCACGCUCGUAAAACGCAAACAAGUGUAAACGACGCGGCACGCAGAAAGCGUGCGGUUCGAAACUCUCAUCGAACGAGAGACCAGUAGAACGUAUCGCGUGAUAACGCUUUAACCGUGCUAUUUCGCGUAACGCCGACAAAUUUCACGCGAACGCAUCCCGAUAAUCUUAUCUGCGCGACACCAGAUACGAAACGUGUCCCACGACGAGUAGAUUCCGUUAAAUUACAAGAGCACCAAAAGAAGCUACGUCUUGGGCAGAAAUAGACACGAUAUCGGUGGCGUUCGAAGCAAAAACGGGAGAAGAACAAGAAAAUACCACGCUACCAAAUGGAGAACCCUUGGAAGAGGGUCUGUCACGUGGCGCAAAAAAAGGCCAACUGUUUCUUUCAAGAUGAAUCGUUCGGGGACACUUGUCGAGUGGAAUGUCUUCUCCCGUGAGAUUAAACCUUGCCUCACGCUUCUCCUGUUCCGUCACCGCCUCGUCCGAAAUAAAGGACGGGAAGCUCGUCCCAGCUGUGAUAAUGGUCCAGCGGAUCUCGUCGAUAAAUCUCAUUGUAUUAAGGCUUGCUGCCGCUGUUGCUGUUACUGUUUCUGUUGUCAGACUGAACUUCCCUUAGCCUUCCUGCUAUACCUGUCUCUAUUCUCGAUACGUGCCUCAAGUUAUAGUUUCAGUUGACUUAAGUUGUUGCACAUGUGCGACUGUCUCAUCCCUAUGAUAUCAACGGAUUCACUGUUUCACUGCACGUAAUCUAGUUGUAAAUUGUAACAAUCAAUGACCACUUUGUACCUACGUGUACUAUUAUUUCUCACAGUAAUAUUAAACAAAUAUUCAAGCACUGAAGAUAAUGUAGGAACAUGCAGGUUAUAGACGUUGCGGACAAUAUAACAAUAAUCUCAACAGUAUUGCACCCAGUAUAUCGAUACAUUGAGAUUUCGUCGAUUGAAAAAUGAGAAAGUUAUUCAGCUAUCGAGCCUUCUGUAGCAACAAAGACGAGCAAUUUAACAAAUAAAAAGUACCAUUUAUACAACAACCAAUAAGCCCUUAGGCAUUUAAUAAGCAAAUAUUACCAUGUCUCAAUAAACACAAUGCACGAAGUUUACAUGCAAACUGCAUACGCAGUCGUAGGUAUUCUGUAUUAAUUAACUCUGCCAAUCUCUAGAUCAAAGCUUUAUCAAAGAUGGGAACAAAAUCUGUUUUCGAUAUCAACUGUUUCGAACAACAUUCUGGUUAAUUAAUUGCACAAUAGAAUUACAUUUCGCCAUUGAAGUAGGAAGAGAGAAAAAGGAAAGAAAUAUCAUAUGAAACUGAUGAAAAUACAAUCUCACCGAGGAAAACUAAUAUCUAUAUUCGCAGACCCAACAAAACAGGAAGAUAACCGGCAAAUCUAUAUUGUACGUAUAUGUUUUAUGCACACAAAGAAUUUGCCCCAUGUGGACAGGGACAAGAAAUUCUUUUUCACCAGCACUCUCCGAUUUCUUUGGGUGAAACUUUCAGUAUGUGGAAACCAUCCCAAGGGCUCCGUAAAGAUAGAAACUUCACUCCUUCUCCCUAAACAAUUGAUACACCGGAAGGGAAAUUGCCCCCUUUUAAACUUUCUUUCGAUACGAUUGACCGUGUCGAUGAUACGACGUGAAAAACUGCCGUGAACUGUCGAUAUAACAGAAAGAAAAAGAGGGGAGAAAAGGGCAAACGCGUGAAUAAAUUUGCAAGGGACGUUCGGCCGAAAUAUUACGAUAUUAAAUAUCUAUAUUUCACGAAAGACACUCGAUUUCGCGAUAGAAUUAAUUGUUCGGCAGUUUACGUUUACGUAAAACAGAUCAGCGAAAUUGGGUUAAUACUUUACAGGUAGCUUUAUGCAAAUUCCUCCGACAUAGAAAUGUCAAAGCACACCGAAUUCGAUAAUUAUCUCGAAAUUAAUUGAGUUUCUCUUGCGUAUAUACAUCGCAACAAGAUACAUUAUGAUAAUUGUUUCCCCUGUUAAUUGUAGAAUGCAAUUUCACGUUAGAAUAUAGAAACGCCGUAUCGAACGAAGAAAAUAUCACCGAGCAUCGAAUUAAAUUUUACGAAUUAAAUUGUACACAUUUAGUAAGUAUAUUCGCAGUAAAUAUAAUGACAAAAUUUGGACACUGAUAGAUACAUAAAUAGUAAGCGUCGGAGAUAGUUUUAUUUUUCGAUUUCAUUCAAUUUUUUUAAUAAUCUGCGUUAAUCGUAAUCCUGACAAUAUUAACGAUUUAGUUCCUAAUGAUAAUAUUAAUAAACGGAAAAUAUCGACCAUAGAUUUAUAUAGCCAUCGAUGUAUUUCUGUAUUCUGUUUCAAAUGACAUUUGAAGCGUAUACAAUAGAAUUAAUAUCAGAAAAUUCAACUAACCAUUUGAAUCGUUUCAAUCACGCUACAACGAAACAAAGCGCCAUUAUAAUGGAUUUAUACAGACAAUACAACAAUAAAUAGCACAUAAUGCAAUGAUGUUUUCGCACAUACUACGUGUACAAAUUUUAGGUAUUUUUCAUCGUAUUUUAUUGAGAUUAUAUAAUUUGGAAAAAGAAGUUUUACGUAUGAAAUAAUUCAUUUUAAUUAAUUAUUAAAAAUCUCUCUUGUCUCGAUGUUUUGGCACAGAAAUAAUGUCUAAAAUUAUCAUUGUUUUCUCUUUGCAGUAUAUUCAUUUCGAAAUAAAUGGUUUCGUUACCGAUCAUACAACAACCUUGAUCACCCCAUUAUGUUCAAAUUUAUGCGAUCGUGUCUUUAAAUUAACGUAAUUUCGCUGAUAAAAAUCUUUUUUGUAUGUAAUUUCACUGAAACCAUAAAUGUAAAUAUUCUUGUAAUCAUAUCAUCGGUGUUAAAUUUGGAAACUUACACGUAUCGUACUUUACACAUUGAACAAAAUUAAUGACUUUCAUCGCAUAAAAUACGAAAAUAAUAAAUAUCUUAAGAUUAUGCUACCUCCUCCCCCCACUUACAUCGCUGCGGUUACUUACUACUCAAAGAUACACAAAUAACACACUCAAAGUUUAACACAUUCACGGCUGAUAAUUUUAAUUUUCUCUUCGUAGAUUUGACUCUUAAACGUCAUCCUUUGUAUCAUUUGUUAUCACUAAUGCAGACAAAUAUAAAACAUAUAUUCAACGCAUAUAUUAUUCUUAUGUGCAAUUAUAGUUUAAUUAUCAGGAGACGCGAUAUUAUAUCAUCGGCCAACGUAAAAUCAUUUUUGUAGAAUUUCCUAUUUUAAUUGAACGCCGAAUUAAGUAACAAAUAAUGUGAAUGUUAAUAUUAAUUUCAAUCUUAAAUGUUACAGAUAUUUUACGUACAUUUAAGUGCAAAACGAUAUAGCCUGAGAUUGCUCAUAAAAUUAUUUUAAAUAAAGACGAUGUAUCGUUUAAUUAAACAAUCUUUUUUUUAAAUAUUUUAUUCAAACAGUACCCAAGCUUGUCUUCAACAAAGGUUUUAUAGCGAUCAAAAUUCGGCGUGUCGCAUUGCAAGUACGCGCUUGCGAGCGGAUCUAUUUGUGUUUCCAAAAAUCCAACGAAACCCAGCCUAGUAGUAUAUAGUCGAUGAAGUGUGAAUCGUGGACCAGCACGUCGACGCGAAUUAAUACGUUGAAAAGAUAAAACCGGCUGGACAGGCGUCAAUGACGAACGACCAGCGAACAAAUUAUCCUCGCUGGCUAGCCGGUUCAAUUCGUUCUAAACGAAGCUUCCCGCAGCGCAAACAAACACGUUAACGUCCUUUAGACUCCAAUUAAAGCGAAUUGUUUAAUUUCGCUGCGAAUUUUUCUAUUGCUUUUCCCUUGCGUUCAUUCUCAUACUGUCAUAAAACCAUCACAAUGAUGGGUGACUGAAGAUUCAAACAAUACGAGUUCCAUGAUAUACGAUGAAUGAGCUACGAGAUUGAUCAGCAAUGUGACAAGGCAUUUAGGAAAUUUAUACCGUGUAAAUUAUUCUUAGUUUGUUUAGAUACGACUUAUAAUGAUCUUCGCAUUUAGAAAUUGGUUAAUUGUGAUGCUGGAACUUCUUUCGUGUUUCUACUUAUAAAUGUACGUUAUAGUCGUAAUAUAUAAUUAUGGCAAAUUACGCGUUGUAUUUUGAAUAAUAUACCAUAUGCGAUUACAUUUGAAAAUUCUAUCUCCUUUCUAUCUUCAAGAGAUCAACGUCUGAUACAAAAGAGACAAGACACAAGACGAGUUCAAUAUUCAAUUGUAUUGCAGAAGAAGUCUAUUCCAAUAGAAUCUCACAUUACAUUCCAAAAUUCUAUCUUCCCUUCUUCCUAUCUAGUUAAAAGACCAACGUUCGAUGCAAAGAAACAUACGGCAGAAAUUCAAUAUUUUAAUACAACGAUCUCCAUAAAUCAUAAAACUACUUUCCAACCUACCCGAUUCGCGAAGACCGCUAAUCUCUUCAUCCACCGACAUUGAACGAACUUUGACUCGUAGCGUAAAGGAGACCUUCACCAGAAGCAGUAGGUACUUUUUUUUUAUCAAAGGUUACACCUUCCACUUUCUAACGACUACUUGGAAAUUGUCGGCCAAAACGCACGUCGUGUCUCGGCGCAAGAAUGUUGUUAGUCAAGCUUUUCUUCGAAAAGAAAGGGGGAGGGAGGAAAAAAAGAAAGAAAAGGGAGAAAAAGUAACGCUAUCACGAUCGAAAUAAAGUUCACGCGACAACGCCGUUAUGUGUGCCGGGCACACAAUGCGAAAGAACAGGGGUGAGUUAUCGUGACGCAUUGCCGGCUGCACCGAACGCACGUGGCCUGAUGGUUGUUAUCGGUCCUAUCGGCCAGUGGCUGUAUCAGUGCCGUCGGCACCGCUUAUCGUCGCCGACGCCUGGCGUCGAUCAGCAACCGUUAUGAAUUGUUUCCGCGCAAGUGACCGGCCAAUCGCGACGUUACCCGGCCAAACGAAAAACUAGUUCCCCUCUGCUCGUUUACGAAGCACAAAAUGCCGGAGACGGUAAAUUGCUGGCCACUGAAACGCGAACAAACGAUAUAAUGACAGGACGCGUUGUCUUGUCCAUUGAACGCUCGAACUGUGAAUCGCUGUUACACAGAGCUGUAUAAGCGCGCUUCAUUUUUCGUUUCUUUUCUUUAUUUCGUUGAUCGUUCGAGACUAUCGAUCCGCAGAUUUAACGAUCAAGGAGGGAGUUCUCGUUCGUAAUUAAUACCUCGCUGCGUGAUAUUUGAAUAACACUGGUUAUACGUCGAUAAGAAUACGUUGCAAUGCAUUAAAAUAAUAUUAUAACGUGUACUAGUAACUAUGUGGAUCUAUUCGCAAGAUUUGUUUGUUCUUUAUAUGUUUGAUGAUUUUACGUUAGAUACAUAUGUAUUUUGUAUUUUAUAAUAUUUUGCUACUUUCCAUCUAUGUUUACUUGUUUAUUAUUCAUUAUUAGAUUAGAUUACAGAUGUUUAUGCAUUUGUGCUAGAUAUGGAUGUGAGCACAAAUGCAAAGUAUAUAAAAUAUUUCAAAGAUAAGACAUAAUUUUAUUCGCGUUUAUUUUCUUUAUCAGUGUCUGUAAAAAUAUGCGUUUACACAACGUCUGCGGUGUACCCAUU